ensembl:snRNA U2 U2 spliceosomal RNA
AUGAGUAUUUGAGUUUAAUAAAAAAAAAUAAAAAAAUCUGUUCUUAUCAGUUUAAUAUCUGAUACGUCCCCUACCCGGGGACUACAUAUUAAAUUGAUUUUUGGAUCACAGAGCUGGAGCCGGGGCUUGCUCUGUCCACUCCACGCAUCUGCCUGGUAUUGCAGUGUCUCCAGGAAUGGUGUGCUUCCC